rnacentral:rRNA from 1 species
AGCAGCCGCGGUAAUUCCAGCUCCAAUAGCGUAUAUUAAAGUUGUUGCAGUUAAAAAGCUCGUAGUUGAAUUUCGGGAUCAGUACGCUGGUCAUGCCUUUGGUAUGCACUGGUGUCACUGGUUUCUCCCUUCUGAAGAUCCGUGAUGUCAUUAAUUUGGUGUCGCGGGGAAUCAGGACUGUUACUUUGAAAAAAUUAGAGUGUUUAAAGCAGGCUCACGCUUGAAUACAUUAGCAUGGAAUAAUGAAAUAGGACGUUUGACCCUAUUUUGUUGGUUUCUAGGAUCGACGUAAUGAUUAAUAGGGAUAGUUGGGGGCAUUAGUAUUCAAUUGUCAGAGGUGAAAUUCUUGGAUUUAUUGAAGACUAACUACUGCGAAAGCAUUUGCCAAGGAUGUUUUCAUUAAUCAAGAACGAAAGUUAGGGGAUCGAAGACGAUCAGAUACCGUCGUAGUCUUAACCAUAAACUAUGCCGACUAG